AGCGGUAGAGAGAAGCUUGCUUCUCUUGAGAGCGGCGGACGGGUGAGUAAUGCCUAGGAAUCUGCCUGGUAGUGGGGGAUAACGCUCGGAAACGGACGCUAAUACCGCAUACGUCCUACGGGAGAAAGCAGGGGACCUUCGGGCCUUGCGCUAUCAGAUGAGCCUAGGUCGGAUUAGCUAGUUGGUGAGGUAAUGGCUCACCAAGGCGACGAUCCGUAACUGGUCUGAGAGGAUGAUCAGUCACACUGGAACUGAGACACGGUCCAGACUCCUACGGGAGGCAGCAGUGGGGAAUAUUGGACAAUGGGCGAAAGCCUGAUCCAGCCAUGCCGCGUGUGUGAAGAAGGUCUUCGGAUUGUAAAGCACUUUAAGUUGGGAGGAAGGGCAUUAACCUAAUACGUUAGUGUUUUGACGUUACCGACAGAAUAAGCACCGGCUAACUCUGUGCCAGCAGCCGCGGUAAUACAGAGGGUGCAAGCGUUAAUCGGAAUUACUGGGCGUAAAGCGCGCGUAGGUGGUUCGUUAAGUUGGAUGUGA
rnacentral:rRNA from 1 species